UUAGGUUAAGUUAUGAAGGGCGCAUGGUGAAUGCCUUGGUACUAGGAGCCGAUGAAGGACGGGACUAACACCGAUAUGCUUCGGGGAGCGGUAAGUACGCUUUGAUCCGGAGAUUUCCGAAUGGGGCAACCCAAUCAGCUUAG
rnacentral:rRNA from 1 species